AUUGAACGCUGGCGGCAGGCUUAACACAUGCAAGUCGAGCGGGGGAAGGUAGCUUGCUACCGGACCUAGCGGCGGACGGGUGAGUAAUGCUUAGGAAUCUGCCUAUUAGUGGGGGACAACAUCUCGAAAGGGAUGCUAAUACCGCAUACGUCCUACGGGAGAAAGCAGGGGAUCUUCGGACCUUGCGCUAAUAGAUGAGCCUAAGUCGGAUUAGCUAGUUGGUGGGGUAAAGGCCUACCAAGGCGACGAUCUGUAGCGGGUCUGAGAGGAUGAUCCGCCACACUGGGACUGAGACACGGGCCAGACUCCUACGGGAGGCAGCAGUGGGGAAUAUUGGACAAUAGGGGGAACCCUGAUCCAGCCAUGCCGCGUGUGUGAAGAAGGCCUUAUGGUUGUAAAGCACUUUAAGCGAGGAGGAGGCUACUUUAGUUAAUACCUAGAGAUAGUGGACGUUACUCGCAGAAUAAGCACCGGCUAACUCUGUGCCAGCCGCCGCGGUAA
rnacentral:rRNA from 1 species